AACGCACAUUGCGCCCUCUGGUAUUCCGGAGGGCAUGCCUGUUCGAGCGUCAUUUGGAGACAAUCAAGCCCUCUGGCUUGGCCUUGAGGCCCGUCCCCCUCACCGGGGGCGGCCUCUAAAUCGGUUGGCGGUGGCUCUGAGGCCUUCAGCGUAGUAGAAUACAUUCCGCUUCUAGGACCCAGGGACGCCCGCCCCAAGACCCCCAAAUAUAUUCACGCAUUGACCUCGGAUCAGGUAGGGAUACCCGCUGAACUUAA
rnacentral:misc_RNA from 1 species